AAAGUAAAUAUUUUGGAUGGACUUAUUCAGUUAAUUCAACAAAUUAUUUGAGAAAAAAAAUGAAGAAAUUAAACUUCAAACUUCGAAAUAUUUAACCAUGUUCUUCUUCAUAAACUUCAAAUGGACCAUGAAAUAAAGCAUCCUGUAUGGUGCGAAUUGUCUUUAGUUUCAAGUGAUACAUAAUGUAAAUAUUUUGGAUGGACUUCUUUGAUAAUCUCACAUUUUACUCAUAAAUUCAACAAAUUAUUUGAGGGAGAAAGGAGAAAUUAAUUAAGAAAUUCGUUCAUGAAGGACACAAUCAAAUACAUCCACGUGCUUACCAUGGUAAUUUAAAAUUUAUAAAGUAUUAACCGUUAAAGAGAAUAAAAGGUGUGCCAAUUACAGUGGUGCCCACAAAAUCUAAAAGAUCCUUCAUAAAAGGGUGUUAAUUCAGAAUUUGUCCGUUCAGUAUAAAAAAUUUAUUUCAAUAUCCUAUAUAUUUUUUGUCACACGUUUUAAAAAGGACGAAGAAUUUACUUUAAACAUACAAAAUUGCAGCAACUUUAGAAAUUUUUAUUGUCUUGAUAAAAGUGUACAGAAAAUAUCCAUAUUUAUGCCAGGUAUGCAGUAUAUUUGACAACAAAAAUACGACAAUAUAAUUUAUUAUAUUAUA